rnacentral:rRNA from 1 species
CCCUUAGAUGUCCUGGGCCGCACGCGCGCUACACUGAGUGUCUGAGAUACGAGUCUGCCUGGUCCGGCAAGGUCUAGGUAAUCGCUAAAAGACACAUCAUGCUUGGGAUAGAUUAUUGCAAAUAUUAAUCUUGAACGAGGAAUUCCUAGUAAACGCAAGUCAUCAGCUUGCAUUGAUUACGUCCCUGCCCUUUGUACACACCGCCCGUCGCUCCUACCGAUUGAAUGAUCCGAUGAAUACCAUGGAUUGAGAGUUCGAACAGGUUCUCCUGUUUCAGCUUCUCGAGAAGUGGAGUAAAUCUUAUCAUUUAGAGGAAGGAGAAGUCGUAACA